UACGUAGGGGGCUAGCGUUGUCCGGAAUCAUUGGGCGUAAAGAGCGCGUAGGCGGCCAGAUAAGUCCGGUGUGAAAGUCAAAGGCUCAACCUUUGAAUGCCGCUGGAAACUGUCUGGCUAGAGUCCGGGAGGGGCGAGUGGAAUUCCUGGUGUAGCGGUGAAAUGCGUAGAUAUCGGAAGGAACAUCAGUGGCGAAAAGCGACUUCCUGGUCCAGCAUCGACGUUCAGGCAUGAAAGCGUGGGGAGCAAACAGG
rnacentral:rRNA from 1 species